CAUCCAUUUAUCUCUCUUUCUCUAUCUCACACACACUUAACCCAUCCAUUUAUCUCUCUGCUAAUUCUCCACUUGGGUACAAGUCGCUCGAGGUUGCUACUGCAGGAACAUGGUUUGCCCAUCAAUCUCUUGGAGUGAUUCGACCCUUGGAAACAUAACCUGCUACUUCACUCGGCGCAAGGAACUGGGUGGCGGACUUGUACGGCAUCGCGACGGACAACUCGCGGUCCGUGUGCCGCGGCAUGGCUUUGGCUCGUCAGGCAAUAUUGGUCCAAUAUGGGUCUUACCAUCGCAGUGCUGCGAGGCCUAUGUAUUGUCUCGCCCUUUUCCACUGCUCAAACAGUCAUCUACUGCAAAAGAGAUUGAAGUUGAUAUUGAAUAUGAAGCAACACGGUUGCCAUCACCCCAAUAUACACGUGCAACGUCAUAUAAUAUUCAAAGGCAACCACCUAAUCCACGGGAAAGGAUUCCUAUUUCAGAGUACGUACGGUGUCGAUGAUCAAGAUGUAGUUCGAAGACGAUGCAUUGCAAAGUCUGCAAUUCAACCAUCUGCACACAACUUCGAAGUCGAGAAAAUCUACGGCUAUAGAUGUUGAUACCCAUGGAGAAGACAUGAAGAACCUGAAGGAGGUGGCAAGAUGCACUUUCUUCCUAGUCAAAUUAUUUUUGUUCCGAGCAAGUUCAAAGAAAUCUUCUUGUUUUGACCUUUGUUUCUUAGCACGUUGGUCCAUUCUAAAUAUACUAAA